rnacentral:lncRNA from 1 species
AAACUGAACUGAAUUCAUUGAGUGAUAGUGAAAAUAGAGACGAUCAAGAUGCAAGAUGUUCUGAUACUGCUCUCCUCCUGUAAUUGUCAAUAAUCAAGCUCAUUUACAGGCUUAUGUGAAAGAAGUAACAGAAGAACUGGCAACGGAGAUCAAGUCUGAACUGAGGGAAGUAAUUGCAACGGUAGAUAGUGCCUAUCGGAAAGCUCAGAAAGUUUAUCAGAAUAUAAUUACAUAGACCGAA